rnacentral:ncRNA from 2 species
GCCCGUCGUGCGGGAGAGAACUCCCCCUCGGAGUCGCCGAAGGCGUAACCCCCCGGAAUCGCUCAGGCAAAAGGACCGCCGACAGAA